UGGUUCUGGAGACCCCGCUUAUAGCCAGCAAAAAUGGCUUUGGACCACAGCCUUCCAGACGUAUUUGUCGUUUCAGGAGUCCUGUUCCCAGCAGGCUUCCACAAGUUCCAAGAUACCGGAAGAGCACAUGU